UUGGAGGGCAAGUCUGGUGCCAGCAGCCGCGGUAAUUCCAGCUCCAAUAGCGUAUAUUAAAGUUGUUGCAGUUAAAAAGCUCGUAGUUGAAUUUCGGGAUCAAAUUGUCGGUCGUGCCUCGGUACGCACUGGUAUUAUUGGUUCCUACCUUCUGAAGAACCGCGAUGUCAUUAAUUUGGUGUCGUGGGGAAUCAGGACUGUUACUUUGAAAAAAUUAGAGUGUUUAAAGCAGGCUUACGCUUGAAUACAUUAGCAUGGAAUAAUGAAAUAGGACGUUUGAUUCUAUUUUGUUGGUUUCUAGGAUUGACGUAAUGAUUAAUAGGGAUAGUUGGGGGCAUUAGUAUUCAAUUGUCAGAGGUGAAAUUCUUGGAUUUAUUGAAGACUAACUACUGCGAAAGAGAUUUGCCAAGGAUGUUUUCAUUAAUCAAGAACGAAAGUUAGGGGAUCGAAGACGAUCAGAUACCGUCGUAGUCUUAACCAUAAACUAUGCCGACUAGGGAUCGGAUGAUGUUAAUUAAUUAAUGACUCAUUCGCGCCUUACGGAAAC
rnacentral:rRNA from 1 species